rnacentral:rRNA from 1 species
UACGAACUGUGCGAACGUUAUUCGGAAUCACUGGGCUUACAGGGUGCGUAGGCGGCUUGUUAAGUAGGGUGUGAAAGCCCCCGGCUCAACCGGGGAAUGGCGCCCUAAACUGGCGAGCUAGAGUGAGAUAGGGGUGUGUGGAACUUCCGGUGGAGCGGUGAAAUGUGUUGAUAUCGGAAGGAACGCCGGUGGCGAAAGCGACACACUGGAUCUUGUCUGACGCUGAGGCACGAAAGCGUGGGGAUCAAACAGG